rnacentral:rRNA from 1 species
AGCUCCAAUAGCGUAUAUUAAAGUUGUUGCAGUUAAAAAGCUCGUAGUUGGAUUUCGGAAUGGGCCAGUUGGUCCGCCGCAAGGUGAGUUACUGACUGGUUUGUUCUUCUUCGCAAAGACUGCGUGUGCUCUUUACUGCGUGUACGUAGGAUUUACGACGUUUACUUUGAAAAAAUUAGAGUGUUCAAAGCAGGCUAUCGCUUGAAUACAUGAGCAUGGAAUAAUGGAAUAGGACAUGGGUUCUAUUUGGUUGGUUUCUAGUACCGAAGUAAUGAUUAAGAGGGACAAUUGGGGGAAUCCGGAUUACGUUGUCAGAGGGGAAAUUCUUGGAUUUACGAAAGACGAACAACUGCGAAAGCACUUGCCAAGAGUGUUGUCA